GCCUUCCUGGUGUAAUGGUAACACAAGAGUCUCAUAAUCUCUCACUCCCAGUUCGAUUCUGGGGGAGGGCA